AAUAUUCGACAAUGGGGUCAACCCUGAUCCAGCCAUGCCGCGUGUGUGAAGAAGUUCUUCGGAUUGUAAAGCACUUUAAGUUGGGAGGAAGGGCUUUAGGUUAAUACCCUGAAGUUUUGACGUUACCAACAGAAUAAGCCCCGCCUAACUCUGUGCCAGCAGCCGCCGUAAUACAGAGGGUGCCAGCGUUAAUCGGAAUUACUGGGCGUAAGGCGGGAGUAGGUGGUUCAGUAAGAUGGGAGUGAAAUCCCCGGGCUUAACCUGGGAACUGCUUUCAUAACUGCUGAGCUAGAGUACGGUAGAAGGUAGUGGAAUUUCCUGUGUAGCGGUGAAAUGCGUAGAUAUAGGAAGGAACACCAGUGGCGAAGGCGACUACCUGGACUGAUACUGACACUGAGGUGCGAAAGCGUGGGGAGCAAAA
rnacentral:rRNA from 1 species